AACGAACGCUGGCGGCAUGCCUAAUACAUGCAAGUCGAACGAACACUUCGGGACCUGUGGCGCCCGGGUGCGUAACGCGUGGGAAGCUGCACUCAGGUUCGGCCUAACUCCCCGACAGGGGUGAUAAUACGGGAUCAUGUCUACGGACCAAAGAUUUAUCGACCUUGGAUGUGCACGCGUUGGAUUAGGUAGUUGGGAGGGUAAAAGCCUACCAAGGCGACGAUCCAUAGCUGGUCUGAGAGGAUGAUCAGCCACACUGGGACUGAGACACGGCCGAGACUCCUACGGGAGGCAGCAGUGGGUAAUAUUGGACAAUGGGCGAAAGCCUGAUGCAGCACUGCCGCGUGAGUGAUGAAGGCCUUAGAGUUGUAAAGCUCUUUUACCCGGGAUGAUAAUGACAGUACCGGGAGAAUAAGCUCCGGCUAACUCCGUG
rnacentral:rRNA from 1 species